rnacentral:tRNA from 1 species
AGUAGGAUGACUGAGAUAUAGGUGAAGGAUUGUAAAUCUUUUAAGGAGUUAAACUCUUCUACUA